UGCUCCUUCGAAUUAGCGGCGAGGGGUGAGUAACACGUGGGCAACCUACCUUAUAGUUUGGGAUAACUCCGGGAACCCGGGGCUAAUCCCGAAUAAUUUAUUACCCUCCAUGGUAAAAUAUUAAAAAACGGUUCCGGCUGUCGCUAUAAGAUGGGCCCGCGGCGCAUUAGCUAGUUGGUGAGGUAACGGCUCACCAAGGCAACGAUGCGUAGCCGACCUGAGAGGGUGAUCGGCCCACACUGGGACUGAGACACGGCCCAGACUCCUACGGGAGGCAGCAGUAGGGAAUCUUCCACAAUGGGCGAAAGCCUGAUGGAGCAACGGCCGC
rnacentral:rRNA from 1 species